GCUGCUGGGGCUGGAGCCGCGCUGCUCAGACCCUGGCUGCCUUUGCCGCCUGCACCGCCACUGACUCGACCCCUCGUCCGAGAUUGAUUGGGCUGCUUGGAGGCCCCUCGCGGUCACUGCCACCAGCCCCUGAUCUUCGGGUUUCAUCGCGAGUCCCCGUCCUUGCCUGCAGCCCCUGGAUUCUCGCCGGCCCAGCCACAUCGUCCACCCUCCCCGAGCCUCUGGCGGCGCCUCCCGGGACCAGCGGGGGCCCACGCUGGAGGCUGCCUGGGCCAUUCUGACGCACCAGCCUGAGGGAACAUUCCCUGGCCUCCCGCCCCUCCUUUCCCCUGCCUAGAGCUGGCCUGCGUGUCCCAGAACUGGGCUUCUCCCGCCUCACCUGCUCCCCACCGCACUCCAGAUCGCUGCGGGCGCGGCUUCCUCGCCCUGGAGCACUCUUCCUCUCCCUCCGCAUUUUCCCUGUAAUUCACACUGCCCUUCAGGCCCUGCCUGGCCCUGUGCAUGUGGGGUGCCUGUUUCCCCUUCCCGAAGGGCGCCCUCCCAUCCGGUUGUCUAACUGUGUCCUCGGACCCAAGCUCCCAGAGGGCAGAGCCUGGGUCUGUGGCUCACGCCUGUGUCCCCUCCACAGGGCCUGGAUGGGAGAAUCGUUGGUCACUGCUGAAGGAAGAAAGGGAGGAAGGGAGAUGAGAGGGAAGGAAAGACAAAUGUACUUAUGACUGCGUCUUUUCCUCCACUUGGGACUUUUUGUUCCAAUGUCCCUAGUCUCAGCCAUGGGAAAGAAGAUGGGGACCCAGAGCGC
ensembl:lncRNA novel transcript